CUUCCAUACUAGCACACAUUGUUGCUGUCGUCUGCUCGUUUUAUUAUUAUAAUUUUAGCUUGUUGACACAAUUAGUCACCCCGCUGUCGCUGACCGGCGGCUACGACAAGCACAAUGCGAGAAAAAUUACAUUCACAAUUAGUGAGGAAAUUGUAGACAAGUGAGCAAGUGUCUGUGACGCAGCACUGGUGAAAGCCGGCAGUCGUGGGAUGGUGGAGAAAGGGUAAAUGAAGUUUUUUCCUUGCGCUCUGUCAGUGGGCAUGUUUAAUUUGACAGCAUAAUAUGGCUUAGUACACCAUCUUAGCAAAUUUUUGCCAACAAAGAACAAAGUUUCGAUUUCGUAGUCCCCAAGGAACUUUUCUGAAGCUAAACAUAACAACCAACUAAAUCAAAAUAUGUAUUACAUUAUGAAGUAAUCUACGGCUUUGCGGGGGAGCAAAAGACUAUGGAGGAUCUGGGAUGGAAAAGUGAAUAUAUAGGCUCUGCCAUUUGAUUAUCAAUCAACUUUAUUUACGCGCGGCACUCCCUGUUUGGUUAGGAUAACCCUGUCAUCUAUAUAGAGUAAAUGGAGUUGUGAAACCAAACCAAAUACUUUGCAUCAGGUCUGAAAGGCUUCAGUCGAUAUCUCGACAUCAGAAUCGGAUAGAUAGGCUGAUAACUCUUUGGUCAAUCAUAAACCAAACUUAUCAACGAAGCCACACUGAAGAAGGAUCGGUUAAAACAAACACUCAUCCAAAUAACAGCCUUUUGCAUGAAAAAUAGUGCCAGCUUCGGAGCAUGGAAUAUUUGCGCACCCUAAGAAAAGUCUAGACCAAAAGCAAUGGAUAUAUUGUGAAACUGAAGUUAAAUUAUUAACUAUUUUGCAACAAAUAUUGAAAUGUAUUUGAAAACUUACGUUAAAAAUUAAUUCAAAUAAAUUUUUCAAUUCAAUUCGAAUAUAAUUGGACAGACUCAGCUGUUUCUGUUUACAUUAUUUUGUUUCCCAUACGUUUGGGGAAAAGCUAUGCUUUUUAUACUCUCGCAACAAAAUUUGCUAAAGAGAGUAUUAUAGUUUUGUUCACAUAACGGUUGUUUGUAACACCCAAAACUAAACGAGUUAGAUAUAGGGUUAUAUAUACCAAAGUUAUCAGGGUGAAGAGUGGAGUUCAAAUCCGAAUGUCUGUCUGUCCGUCUGUCCGUCCGUCCGUCCGUCCGUCUGUGCAAGCUAUAACUUGAGUAAAAAUUAAGAUAUCUUGAUGAAACUUGGCACACUUAUUUCUUGGCACCAUAGGAAGGUUGCUUUCAAAAAUGCAAAAUCGGACCACUGCCACGCCCACAAAAUGGCGAAAACCGAAAACACAUAAAGUGCCAUAAAUAAAGCUAUGGAAAUAAAAUUUGGUAUGAAGGAUCACAGUAUGAAGGGGCAUAUUUGGAUGUAAUUUUUUUGGGGAAGUGGGCAUGGCCCCGCCCCCUACUAAGUUUUUUGUACAUAUCUCGCAAACCAAUAGAGCUAUAUAAACCAAACUUUCUGCAGUCGUUUUUUUAGCCACUUCCUAAUACAGUCCAAAAAUGAAAGAAAUCGGAUAAUAACCACGCCCACCUCCCAUACAAAAGUUAGGUUGAAAAUUACUUAAAGUGGGUUAACUCACUAACGAAAAACGUCAGAAAAACUAAAUCACAUAAGAAAUGGUAGGUGAAAGCAGCACUCAGAUUUUUUUACAAAAUGGAAAGUGGGUGUGGCGUCGCCCACUUAUGGGUAAAAUAUCAUAUCUCUGGAACUACACGACCGAUUUCAAUGAAACUUGGUUUCCUUACAUCCCAAUGAUAUGUUGUGAAAAUAGGCCAAAUCGCUUCACAACCACGCCUACUUCCUAUAUAUCAGAACUUUGAAGAUGCUGAAUCGUUUACAUUACAAUAUAUGAAGUAAGCACUAGUGAAGAUAUCGGUGCAGAACUUUGCACAAAUACUAUAGUGUUGCAGCCCCAUUCUAAAAAUCGCCGAAAUCGGACCAUAGGUUUUUAAGGCCCCAUAUAUCGAACACGAGGACCUCGGUGCCUAAUAUUCCAACUUUCAACGGACUUUAUACAAUAUAUAUGACGAAUGUGUGGGUCAAAUUGUGUAUUAUAUAAUAUUAAUUAAGUCAAACAAAUAAAUUGCGAGAGUAUAAAAUGUUCGGUUACACCCGAACUUAGCCCUUCCUUACUUGUUAUUUUAUCAAAAUUGUCACAGAAUACCAAAAAAGUUCUUAUUUGAUAAAAAUUUGAAAAAAAUUUCAAUUUUUUUGUUAUUUUGUCCAGUGCACAGAAUAGGGCUGUUAGUAUCAGCUCGAAUUAUUAUGCUACCAAUAUAUGACAUUGGUUAGGUCAACAACUUGAUGUACGUGUCCCUUGGAUCUUUAUAAUGGUUCGUUAAUAUCAGGCCACCAAAUGCUGUAAAUCGAAAAUAUAUAAAGUGCUAUCAGUAAGACACAUGGGCGAAAUCCGACCACAAUUGCGCCAACUUCCCAUAUAAUACAAUGUAAAUAUCAUCAGAAUCGUUCACUUUAUAAUAGAAAAUUCAAGAAUCAGUGAGGGUAUCGGAAAGGUUUUUAAAAAUAUUGCUCUUGAGAUUUAACUACUUCCAUCUGAAUACAGUUGAACUUCCAUAACUCGAACUCUUGAAUUAGCACUAGAAGUUGAACUUCCUAAAAAUUACCUUCCGUAACUCGAAAGUCUCUCUAACUCGCAGUUUGUUUGUGGAUUAUGGAGAUUCGGGUGUGUGAGUAUUGUCAACAUAAUUGGCCUACUGAGAGUACUAUUCGCAACACCAUCACCCAUCUUUAGACCCAGCAUUUAUUAUUGUACAAUAUUCGACCGAAUGGACCAUGUCGUAGCUGGGAGUGUACACAAAAUACAGCUUGUGAAAUAACUGAAGCCGCUCGACCUUCCUAAGCGACAUCGCAUGUAGGCUUUUGAAAAGUACCAAUAAGAGCCAACGUUUUUCAGCCAAAUUCUGUUCAUCGAUGAGGACCAUUUCAAGCCCAAUGGCUAUGUAAACAGCAAAAUUGCCUCAUUUGGGACGAAGAGCAACCUGAAGAGAUUCAAGUUUGGGGUGGUUUGUGGGCCGAUGGAUUCAUCAGUCCAACGUAUCCGUCAAUGAAGACCGUUAUCGCACCAUGAUAACCGACUAUUUCAUGCCUGAUAUUGAAAUUCGUGCUCUCAUCAAAAUUUGAUUUCAACAAAACGGCGCCAUUCCCACACAUCGCAUCAAUCAAUGGAGCAGAAAAUUUCAAGUUUUGGGCUGGUCGAUUGGCAACCAAGAUUGUGUGAUAUCACACCGUUAGACGUUUUCCUGUGGGGAUAUAUAAAGUCACGCCUCGAUUCAGGCCUUGGAGCAAAACAUCACGCGGGUCAUUCGCCAGUUACCAGUCGAAAUGCUCGAACUAGUUAUCGAAAAUUGUACUCAACAGAUGUACCAUGGACAGACGUAGCAGCGGUCAACAUUCGAAAGAGAUAAUCUUUAAAAAAGUAGAUGCCAAAGAAUAUUCU